ACUGGGGGUGGGGGCUCCCUCAGCCUGGAUUGUGAGAAGGCACAGGCCAGGCUAAAGGACCACACUGGUGCACG
rnacentral:pre_miRNA from 1 species